AGCGCCCUGCGCUGUUGGUGUGAACCCACUGUGUUUUGAGCCAACACCCAAAACACGGGAGGCCGAUGUCUCUACCAUGAGUAAACGCCUCGCACUGCGAGGACUUACAGAGUGGCUGAGCAGGACACCCACCUGCGAGAGCAGGUUCAAAACCUCGGGUUUCACGGCAUUUGCGGGGCACCA
rnacentral:other from 1 species